AGAAGUUUGAUCCUGGCUCAGGAUGAACGCUGGCGGCGUGCCUAAUACAUGCAAGUCGAACGAGUUCUCGUUGAUGAUCGGUGCUUGCACCGAGAUUCAACAUGGAACGAGUGGCGGACGGGUGAGUAACACGUGGGUAACCUGCCCUUAAGUGGGGGAUAACAUUUGGAAACAGAUGCUAAUACCGCAUAGAUCCAAGAACCGCAUGGUUCUUGGCUGAAAGAUGGCGUAAGCUAUCGCUUUUGGAUGGACCCGCGGCGUAUUAGCUAGUUGGUGAGGUAAUGGCUCACCAAGGCGAUGAUACGUAGCCGAACUGAGAGGUUGAUCGGCCACAUUGGGACUGAGACACGGCCCAAACUCCUACGGGAGGCAGCAGUAGGGAAUCUUCCACAAUGGACGCAAGUCUGAUGGAGCAACGCCGCGUGAGUGAAGAAGGCUUUCGGGUCGUAAAACUCUGUUGUUGGAGAAGAAUGGUCGGCAGAGUAACUGUUGUCGGCGUGACGGUAUCCAACCAGAAAGCCACGGCUAACUACGUGCCAGCAGCCGCGGU
rnacentral:rRNA from 2 species